CCCCUCUCAGGGUCGCACCUACUGAGUUUCCAGUACUCUACCAGCCUCAGCUAUGAGAGGGAGAGUCCAGCAGAGGCAUACCCAUUCCAUUCCUAGCUAGAGCAGUGGCUAGUGAGUGGAAGGCAAUCUGCUACAAGU